GUUAACCAGCUGGUGGAAUCUCCUUUUGAAAUCGUCCACGACAACUCCUCCCAUGACAGAUUUAGCCCUGAGGUCAGCAGCAACGCAACUCAAGAUAUUGCAGCAGUUGAUAAUGGCUUCCCUGGAACUACAUGUCAACCGGCGAUGAACGCAACCAGUACUGCACGACCUGUGCUUUACACUUCGUGCCAAGAAGCAAUCCAGGGACGAAUUGCGGAGCUCGAACGUCUACAGGAAGCUACCGCGAGGAAACUGGCGCUCGCUAGGAAGAGGUAUCUUAAAAGCGAAGAAGAAAAGGAAGAAAUCAAGAAAAGGC